rnacentral:misc_RNA from 1 species
CAGCACAAGCACGCUGCUCCCCGCAAACAGGCUUGCUGAUCUUCGACACCGCGCACCAACUUCGCUCGAGAGAGGGAGGGGAGAAUCUCGACGAACUGUGUAAACAAAGAGCUGCGGGCUUUCGUGCGCAGCGAAACUGCAGUGGAUCAGCACUUUGGUUACACACACACACACACACACACACACACACAAAUCCUGCGCUGUAUCGUAGCCAUUUCGCUCACUCCUUUCUACCCUGCGUCUGCCUCUCUCUUUCUCCAUAGUUUUUCUGUACGCCUGCCAAGGCCGGACAAAGAUGGAUCUGCACGCUCAGGCAAACCCUUUCAACGAGCCGCCUGGCGGUGGCGUCUACGCGGAGAGCUCGCACAUCUCCAAGGAGUUGCUGCAGGAGGUGCGCAGAGAUGAUGCGGCUAUGGCUGACGACCUUGUUGCGCUUGCUCCACGGUACGGUCGUGCGUUUCGCCCAGGCGCAUCGACGAGGAGCGCUGCGGCUUCCUCCGCGGCGUGCGGCGGUAGUGCUGGCUACGCUGUCGACGUGCACGACACGCUCACGACGAGCGAAUUCGUUCAGCAGAAGCGAGAGGUCGGCCUCGUGCGCAUGUCCCUGACGACCAAGAAGGCUGAAAUUCGCAAGCUGGAAGAGAAAAUCCACCGCGCUGAGAAGCGACUGCACCAGCAGCAAGAGCAGCUGUCGAACACGCGUGAGAAGUUCAACAGCUUUUUGAAGUUUAGCAACCUCGAGCAAGACGCGGCGGUGCGGCGAGCGGACGACGAAACGCGCAGCAAACACGCCAAGACAAUCGAGAUCAAGAAGCUGUCAGCCCUCAUCAGCCACGCCGAGGCGGAGAUGCGCAAGACACGGUUGCAAAUUGAGAACUGCGCUGCAUACAAGGACUUUCUCGAGAUUCUGACAAAGCCGCAGUGGUUUUACGACACACUGAGCAACCUGCGUAUCGAGGACGCGACCGAGAAGAUUCUGCUCGACGCCGAGGAGGCGUAUCAGGCGCGGUCAGCUUCCCUGACUGCGCAGGAGGCGGCGCGAUUGGAGGCGGCGCAGCAGGCAGCGCUGGCGAGGGAACGGGAUGAGGCAUCGUCCGACAAAAGGAAGCGACCAUCUAUCUCGGCAACUGCACAACGGAAGGGGAGGUACCAGGCUAAUGCCACCCCGGUCGUCGAGGCCGAGGAGCCGAAGGUGGUGCCGCUCGAGGUGCAACUAGAGCAUCUCUACGCCUCCGUUGAGGAAGAGGCACGCGCUGCCAUCGCGGCCGCUACCGCAAGCAUCCGCGCGGAGGUUGGUGCCAUGACGCUGGCGGAUGUGAAAGACGAUCUACACCAUAAAUACGAAGAAAAGCGGCUGCCGCUGUGCUUUACCUCUGUCGAUGAUCUUCUGGAGGUGUUCAUCAACGUAGAGGAGGGCAACUUGUUCUUGAUUCAAAACUGCCACGAGCUUGAAGAGGAGCUAGAGGGUGUCGAGAUGGGGUACAUGCAGGAGCGGGAGGAGAUGAACGCCAUGGUUGACCAGAGAACGGCGCAGCUGGAGGCGCUGACGAGCAGCGUAGCGGAGGCCCAGAAGAAGUUACAAGCGCUAGACGAACGGAUGAUGGCGCUCGAGCCGCAUGGAAAUGUGCAGGCAAACGCGCCAGCUGGGUCGACUGCGACGACGUCCAAACGGGUCAGAGCGGGGGCAUCGUCCAUUGGCGGCGCAUGGGACACCGCCGGUGUCGCCUCAGCCACGAAGAUGGCCCCCGAGGAGCUGAAAACGAAGGUUGAGGAGUCGAUUGAGCACAUUUUUCACCUGCUCCGCACUGGCGAUCAGCAGCUCAAGCUCAAAGCGCAGAGCCCGAGUCUCCGCAAGAGCGUUGACGGCGCCAACGUGGCUGGCAACGCGAGUCAUCGCCGAUCGCGUGCCGCCUCCAUGCAUCGCGGCCCCAAGGCUCUUCAGUCGUCAGCGAUGCAGACGGGGAAGAUGAAGGCAGCCACCGGCGGCCCAUCCUGUGAUUCGCAGCGGCCGUCGAGUGGGGCGCGCCGGUCGGGGAAGAGCACCGUCGGCGCGACGACUGCGGCCGGCGCGGCUGAUGCGGCGUCUCAGCAGCAGCAUCACGACGCCUCCAUGGGCCCGGUAGAGAUGCUGACCAUUAUUGAGAACAAAUUGGAGGAGUAUCACCGAUACCUGAGCGACCCGGCAAACCACGUCGAGCUGGCCUUGAUGAAGGCCGUGAUGAAGCAGAGUGACAAGCAGCGUCGUCGUCAGGCGCGGAUCAUUCACCUGGCCAACCAGGAGGAUGAGCAGGAGGAACGCAUCCGACGCGCGCUGGAGCGGUCGCAGGCACCCAUCAUCCACAAGAUCGGGAAGCCUUUCCGUCCGCGCUCCUUUGUCUCGAAGCCCAUGGACGAGAAGUCGCGGCGCAAGGCGGAGCGGGCUGCGGCUGCGCUGAACGGCUCACUCGACAACAUCGACUCGGACGAGGACGGCGCUGAGUUCUUUAUGUAGGUGUAGCUAUGCGAAAGGCCAGGUGUGAAGAGGCGCGUGGAGCGUCCAUCUUUAUGUAGGGUGUUUGUGUGGGUGGCGGGUGGAAAGGGGGGGGUGUUGUGCAUGGGUACCCUUGUUUCAGCUUGCUGUUCUGUGGGUCUCCGUGUUGUGUGAGUACGGUGAACGUAGUUAUCCCCGUGUCUCUAUGUGUGUGUGUGUGUGCGUGCGCCGCCCUCACUGCUUUUCCUGCUUACUUCGUGUUUUCGUUCUCCUUCGCUUUCUCAGGCGGAGCAGCCGUCCACCUCGUGUUUUUUUUUUGACGCUCCCUCCUCUCUCUUUUGGAGGGUGCGGGUGCUGUUGGUGCUAUCACUGGUCUGCCACACUGUGUGGCUGCGUGCGUGUGUCUCUGUGUGUGCCUAGGUGUACAAGCGAGCGGGGAGGUGAGAGGGUGAGAGAGGUUCGAUGUACAUGAGAAUGAGGGGCAGUCCGAUGGCUACCGCGGCACCCCGCUCUGCGCGAUCUCGCUUGUAUGGAUGUCAUGUACAGCUUUGUUGCUCAGACAGGCAGCUUGCCUGUCCUUUACACUUUCUUGCUCCGAUGUUUGUGUUUGUGUGUACCUGGAUCUCUCUCUCUGUGUGCGUGUGCGCGGCCGUGUUGCUCUCGCCACCACCUCAAUGGCAAGAGCACAGAGCGAAGGAAGGCACUUGAGGUGCACGCUGGUGAAGUCCUGCUCUCCUGCGACUGAUCAGAGGCGUCUGCGGCCUGUUGC